GCGAGCGUGGCGGAAUAGGCAGACGCGCCGGGUUUAGGUCCCGGUGCCCGCAAGGGCUUGGGGGUUCAAGUCCCCCCGCUCGCACCA
rnacentral:tRNA from 4 species